rnacentral:lncRNA from 1 species
UCUAUUUUGUGUAAUAUUGUCCUUAAUAGUCAUUGUGUAAAAAAGAAAUAUAGAAGUCGCAAUUACUCACAAUAGAGUAAAGUCAAGUGAGCAAAUAUAGAAGUCGCAAUAGCCGCACUCAUAUUUUAAUUUAUUGGCUAGAUAGUAGAUACAUAAACCCACAUAUAUCUUAUAAGUAAAGAUCUUGUUCACCCGAAAGUUAAUCAUUUAUGAAGACACAAGAAGCAUAUGAAGUUAACCACUAUAGGUGGCCGAGUUGGUAAGAGUGUAGGUGUGGAACCUUCAUACUCAAGUUAGAAACCCGCUGAUCCUAAUUGAAGUUAAAUCUCAAUUUAUUUUUGGUGGCUAGAGAGGAGGAAUCGUUUUGACAUGAUCUCUUAGCACAAAUUAGUCUCUAGGCCUAAAAAGCUUUUGAGGAAACCGUGUGAUCUCGAUGAAAAAGAAAAACCUUACAAAGUUUACAAAAAAUUUUAUGGUAAUGAAAACAUAACCGUCUAAUAUUUUAUGGUAUUUUGAUCUAGCCGCUUUUGUUUUAUUUAUAGAUUUAUUUUGAAAACACCACACUGUCUUGGGUGAC